GAUGAACGCUGACAGAAUGCUUAACACAUGCAAGUCUACUUGAUUCUACUUCGGUAGUUGAUGGUGGCGGACGGGUGAGUAACGCGUAAAGAAUCUGCCCUUUAGUUUGGGAUAACCUUUGGAAACGAAGGCUAAUACCGGAUAUUAUGGAGACGUCGCAUGGCGACUCCAUGAAAGCUAUAUGCGCUAGAGGAGGACUUUGCGUCCCAUUAGUUAGUUGGUGAGGUAAUGGCUCACCAAGACCGCGAUGGGUAGCCGGCCUGAGAGGGUGAUCGGCCACAAGGGAACUGAGACACGGUCCUUACUCCUACGGGAGGCAGCAGUGGGGAAUAUUGGACAAUGGGCCACAAGCCUGAUCCAGCAAUUCUGUGUGCACGAUGAAGGUCCUCGGAUUGUAAAGUGCUUCCAGUAGGGAAGAAAAAAAUGACGGUACCUACAGAAGAAGCGACGGCUAAAUAUGUGCCAGCCGCCGCAGUAA
rnacentral:rRNA from 1 species